UAACAGUAAUAUUUAAUAUAUCCAAUGUCCAUAGAAUGUAAAAAAGUUCUGUUGUUUUUCUGUUUUUUAAUUGCAUGGUUUUUAGUAUCUAAAAGUUUUGCUUGUUUUGCCCCACAAUUACUGCUGUAAUCUUAUAAGAGUAUUUUUAGCUGCAAACUCUUAAGAAAAAUACAGCCAAUCGCCUUGGCAACACACACUCUUGCAAGAGCGGAGACCCAGGCAAACCAGCUGGGAAUAAAUAAAGUCAAGGUGAGGACCUGCGACAAUCGCACACACACGAUCGCCAGUCGGAAUACCCAUUGCUCUGUCGACCCGCAUUAAUCACAUAUCGCUGGCUGAAAGGGUGAAUUGCUGGCGGUUGCUGAUGUGCGAGGUGUGGGGUUUUUGGGGGUCGGGGGUCCUCUGUGGGUGACGUUUUUAUAUUGUCCGAUGUCACCGCCACCCAUCUCGACCCCAAAGACCCACAACCAACCCCCCCACCUCCACCCCUUUGGACGACACCACCGGAAGCCGUAAAAUCGCACACGAGAGCUCCGGCAUAGGCCGCACAUGAAAAUUGCCACAGGCGGGAAAAGUGGGGGGAAAAAAAAUGGAAAAGCGAAAAGCGAGAACCGAAAACUGAAAACCGAAAAGGAGCGAAAAGGACGAAAACUCGGCCGCAAAUCCGACAUUGCAUUGCCACCAAUAUACCAGAGUCACCCAUCGCGGAAACAUCGCGGAAACAUCGCGGAAACAUCGCAGAAACCACCCAUUGCAAGCCGCAGAGGAAGAAUACACUUUGGGUGCACUUUUCUGUGACCAAAGCUGGUCCAAUUCUUGUGAUAAGUCAUCACCAUCAUCAACUGGAAAUCAUAUAAGUAUUGAAUACAAAUAUUAUUUAUAAUGACUCAUUAGAUUUGACUUUUAAAAUAAUCAACGACUUUUGUAGUAUUUUAAUCUCACAUUA